AAAGUAGACAAGGCGGUCGUCGGCUCUUUCUAUUCCUAGAGAAAGAAAGAGCGGGAGGAAAGUCCGAGCUCCACAGGACACAGUGCUCCGUAACGCGGAGUCCCGGCGACGGGAAGGAAAGUGCAACAGAAAAGAUACCGUUCCACCUUUUGGGUGGAAUAAGGGUGAAAUGG
rnacentral:RNase_P_RNA from 1 species